CCUACGGGAGGCAGCAGUGAGGAAUAUUGGUCAAUGGACGCAAGUCUGAACCAGCCAUGCCGCGUGCAGGAAGACGGCUCUAUGAGUUGUAAACUGCUUUUGUACGAGGGUAAACGCAGAUACGCGUAUCUGUCUGAAAGUAUCGUACGAAUAAGGAUCGGCUAACUCCGUGCCAGCAGCCGCGGUAAUACGGAGGAUUCAAGCGUUAUCCGGAUUUAUUGGGUUUAAAGGGUGCGUAGGCGGUCGGAUAAGUUAGAGGUGAAAUCCCGAGGCUCAACUUUGGAAUUGCCUCUGAUACUGUUCGGCUAGAGAGUAGUUGCGGUAGGCGGAAUGUAUGGUGUAGCGGUGAAAUGCUUAGAGAUCAUACAGAACACCGAUUGCGAAGGCAGCCUACCAAGCUACUUCUGACGUUGAGGCACGAAAGCGUGGGGAGCAAACAGGAUUAGAUACCCUAGUAGUC
rnacentral:rRNA from 1 species